GAAGCUCAUCCUCGUCCCCAGGCCCAAGCUUGGGCGGCCCUCACAGUGUGAGGGCCGCCCGAGCUUGGGUCUGGGGACGAGGAUGAUUGAAGCU